rnacentral:rRNA from 1 species
AGACUCCUACGGGAGGCAGCAGUGAGGAAUAUUGGACAAUGGAUGGAAAUCUGAUCCAGCCAUGCCGCGUGCAGGAAGAAUGUCCUAUGGAUUGUAAACUGCUUUUGUAUGGGAGCAAUAAGGCCUUCGUGAAGGCUGAUGAGAGUACCAUACGAAUAAGCAUCGGCUAACUCCGUGCCAGCAGCCGCGGUAAUUCA